rnacentral:rRNA from 1 species
CUACGGGUGGCUGCAGUAAGGAAUAUUGCGCAAUGGAGGCAACUCUGACGCAGCCAUGCCGCGUGCAGGAAGAAGGCCUUAUGGGUCGUAAACUGCUUUUAUUUAGGAAUAAACCCCCGAACGUGUUCGGGGCUGAAGGUACUAAACGAAUAAGCACCGGCUAACUCCGUGCCAGCAGCCGCGGUAACACGGAGGGUGCAAGCGUUAUCCGGAUUUAUUGGGUUUAAAGGGUGCGCAGGCGGGCUAUUAAGUCAGUGGUGAAAUCCCGGGGCUCAACUCCGGAACUGCCAUUGAUACUGAUAGUCUUGAGUUUGGUUGAAGUGGGCGGAAUGUAGCAUGUAGCGGUGAAAUGCAUAGAUAUGCUACAGAACACCAAUCGCGAAGGCGGCUCACUAAGCCAAAACUGACGCUCAUGCACAAAAGCGUGGGGAUCAAACAGGAUUAGAUACCCGUGUAGUC